rnacentral:lncRNA from 1 species
AAAAACUGCUUGAUCGUCCUAUAACUGCCCACUUUCUUCGUAAUGGCCAACUUGUCAUGAAAACUGCCUUUUUUAACUGCUGCAAUUACUCUUCAUCGUUCAACCGCUUUCGAUUGAAUUCCUUGAAUCGUGGAACGUGAUAGGGCUGCUUUAAUAACUGCUUUGAUAACUGUACUUCUUGAUAACCACGACGCUCUAUGCUUGUUAAGACCUUGGGCGACUUAAAGGUUUGGGCGAGAAUAGAGUAACAGCUCUGGGCGACUGUAUGACAGUCCAUUCACUCAAAUUCUGGGCGACUUGCAAACUUGGGCGAUGGCGUUACCGCGUUCUUG